rnacentral:rRNA from 1 species
UGCCACAGCCAUAUCACACUGCAGCCCAAGACUGGUUGCCCACUGAAGCUAAGCAGGGUUGAGCCUGGUCAGUACCUGGAUGGGAGACCUCCUGGGAAAACUAUACUGUCAAAA